CAGUUCGGAUUGUAGGCUGCAACUCGCCUACAUGAAGUCGGAAUCGCUAGUAAUCGCGGAUCAGCAUGCCGCGGUGAGUACGUUCCCGGGCCUUGUACACACCGCCCGUCACACCAUGAGAGUUUACAACACCCGAAGUCAGUGGCCUAACCGCAAGGGAGGGAGCUGCCUAAGGUGGGGUAGAUGAUUGGGGUGAAGUCGUAACAAGGUAAC
rnacentral:rRNA from 1 species